rnacentral:rRNA from 1 species
AACGAACGCUGGCGGCAUGCCUAACACAUGCAAGUCGAACGAGACCUUCGGGUCUAGUGGCGCACGGGUGCGUAACGCGUGGGAACCUGCCCUUAGGUUCGGAAUAACUCCCCGAAAGGGGUGCUAAUACCGGAUAAUGUCUUCGGACCAAAGAUUUAUCGCCUUUGGAUGGGCCCGCGUUGGAUUAGCUAGUUGGUAGGGUAAAAGCCUACCAAGGCGACGAUCCAUAGCUGUCUGAGAGGAUGAUCAGCCACACUGGGACUGAGACACGGCCCAGACUCCUACGGGAGGCAGCAGUGGGGAAUAUUGGACAAUGGGCGAAAGCCUGAUCCAGCCAUGCCGCGUGAGUGAUGAAGGCCUUAGGGUUGUAAAGCUCUUUUACCCGGGAUGAUAAUGACAGUACCGGGAGAAUAAGCUCCGGCUAACUCCGUG